AAGUCGAGGGGUAACAUUGUAGCUUGCUACAGAUGACGACCGGCGCACGGGUGCGUAACGCGUAUACAAUCUGCCUUUUGCUGAGGGAUAGCCCAGAGAAAUUUGGAUUAAGACCUCAUGGUAUGUAUUUAUCGCAUGGUAUAUACAUUAAAGGUUACGGCAAAAGAUGAGUAUGCGUCCCAUUAGCUAGAUGGUGUGGUAACGGCACACCAUGGCAACGAUGGGUAGGGGUCCUGAGAGGGAGAUCCCCCACACUGGUACUGAGACACGGACCAGACUCCUACGGGAGGCAGCAGUGAGGAAUAUUGGGCAAUGGACGCAAGUCUGACCCAGCCAUGCCGCGUGCAGGAAGACUGCCCUAUGGGUUGUAAACUGCUUUUUUACGGGAAGAAUAAGGGGUACGUGUACCCUGGUGACGGUACCGUAGGAAUAAGCACCGGCUAACUCCGUGCCAGCAGCCGCGGUAAUACGGAGGGUGCAAGCGUUAUCCGGAAUCAUUGGGUUUAAAGGGUCCGUAGGCGGGCUAUUAAGUCAGGGGUGAAAGUUUGUGGCUCAACCAUAAAAUUGCCCUUGAUACUGGUAGUCUUGAGUUAUUGUGAAGUGGUUGGAAUAUGUAGUGUAGCGGUGAAAUGCAUAGAUAUUACAUAGAACACCGAUUGCGAAGGCAGAUCACUAACAAUCGACUGACGCUGAUGGACGAAAGCGUGGGGAGCGAACAGGAUUAGAUACCCUGGUAGUCCACGCCGUACACGAUGGAUACUAGCUGUGUGGCGUACGCUGCGCGGCCAAGCGAAAGUGAUAAGUAUCCCACCUGGGGAGUACGUUCGCAAGAAUGAAACUCAAAGGAAUUGACGGGGGCCCGCACAAGCGGUGGAGCA
rnacentral:rRNA from 1 species